CGCCGGUUCUUUCUCCGCUGCAGCCGCCGCCGCUCUCCGCCCCCAACCCCUUGACGUCAGGCGAGGAGGGUGUCGAGUGGUGGCCGGGGGCGGGACGCGAAGGCCCGCCCAGGAGGGGGCUGCGACCUGCUGCCUUGCUUGCCCAGCACUGAGGUUUGGGGACCCUUUGCGACUCUUGCAGCUCCGGAGUCAAGGUCUAGGGGAUUAUGGGACACCACCUGGGGCUGACAGUGGGCCAGCAAGUCCUGCCAGCGGAUCAUCUUGGGAGACUCACCCAUUGAUCAGGAGUAAUGUCCUGGCUACUGACCACAACCCCAGCCAGUGUCAGGAGGCUGUGGCAGAGAUAGCAGACCUGGAGAGAGAGAAAGAGAGAUAGCACAACAAGGAUCCUUCCUAACUCCUUCUGAGCCUAUGGGCUCCAGUCUCUUAGCCAGCAGCAGCAGCUUCCAGGGAAACAUCUUCAAGGAGGGCCUCACUGUCUCAGAGCUGUGACAGUCCCAGUAGUCUGUACCCAGGACCCACAUUUCUUCUAAUUAAUGAUUAUCCCCAAAUAGCUUCUGAAAAAGAGAGUCCUUGCCACCUGGAAAGCCACACCACCCUAAGCCUUGUAGUGGGACUCCAGAAGCAGAAGCCCAGAGGGCCUGUGCACCCCGCCACUGCACAGCCUGUUUGCUAAGUCACUUACACUGGUGGUCAGCAACUGAGCUCAUACUAUCCUUUGUGCCACCUCUAGGUCCCUAUCUUGUAAAUGUGCCCCAUAGUGGACAAGACCUGCACAAACUUAGGCACAGCACUGUUUGACAAUCAGCCCUGAUGACAGACAGAAAGCUGGCAAGAGAAGGGGAGACCAGUAGAAGCAGUAUGCAGUGAAUAUCUGCAUGCAUUCUCCACCCAGUCCACCCUCACUGUCACCACUGGACACUUCAGAGAUAAAAACCAGGACAAAGGCCAUGGGAGAGGGAUCAUACCUGUAAUCCCUAGUUUAGAAGCUAAACCAAAAAGAUCACAUUACAAGUUCAAGGCCAGCCAAGGCUGCUGCAUAGAAAGAAUGCAUCUC